rnacentral:rRNA from 1 species
CAGCAGCCACGGUAAUACGUAGGGUGCGAGCGUUAAUCGGAAUUACUGGGCGUAAAGCGUGCGCAGGCGGUUGUGUAAGACAGGUGUGAAAUCCCCGGGCUUAACCUGGGAACUGCGCUUGUGACUGCACAGCUAGAGUAUGGCAGAGGGGGGUGGAAUUCCACGUGUAGCAGUGAAAUGCGUAGAGAUGUGGAGGAACACCGAUGGCGAAGGCAGCCCCCUGGGCCAAUACUGACGCUCAUGCACGAAAGCGUGGGGAGCAAACAGGAUUAGAUACCCGCGUAGUCCCUGUCUCUUAUAC